rnacentral:rRNA from 1 species
CAAUUCUGGUUGAUCCUGCCAGAGGCCGCUGCUAUCCGGCUGGGACUAAGCCAUGCGAGUCAUGGGGUCUGCGCCGCUUCGGCGGUGCAGGCACCGGCGGACGGCUCAGUAACACGUGGACAACCUACCUUCGGGAGGGGGAUAACCCCGGGAAACUGGGGCUAAACCCCCAUAGGGGAUAGGUGCUGGAAUGCCCUAUCUCCGAAAGUGCACAGUUGCCGUAAGGCGCUGUGCAGCCCGAGGAUGGGUCUGCGGCGGAUUAGGUAGUUGGCGGGGUAACGGCCCGCCAAGCCGAAGAUCCGUACGGGCCAUGAGAGUGGGAGCCCGGAGAUGGACCCUGAGACAAGGGUCCAGGCCCUACGGGGCGCAGCAGGCGCGAAACCUCCGCAAUGCGGGAAACCGCGACGGGGUCAGCCGGAG